rnacentral:rRNA from 1 species
GAUGAACGCUGGCGGCGUGCCUAAUACAUGCAAGUCGAGCGAACGGACGAGGAGCUUGCUUUUCUGAUGUUAGCGGCGGACGGGUGAGUAACACGUGGAUAACCUACCUAUAAGACUGGGAUAACUUCGGGAAACCGGAGCUAAUACCGGAUAAUAUUUUGAACCGCAUGGUUCAUAAGUGAAAGACGGUCUUGCUGUCACUUAUAGAUGGAUCCGCGCUGCAUUAGCUAGUUGGUAAGGUAACGGCUUACCAAGGCAACGAUGCAUAGCCGACCUGAGAGGGUGAUCGGCCACACUGGAACUGAGACACGGUCCAGACUCCUACGGGAGGCAGCAGUAGGGAAUCUUCCGCAAUGGGCGAAAGCCUGACGGAGCAACGCCGCGUGAGUGAUGAAGGUCUUCGGAUCGUAAAACUCUGUUAUUAGGGAAGAACAUAUGUGUAAGUAACUGUGCACAUCUUGACGGUACCUAAUCAGAAAGCCACGGCUAACUACGUG